CGGGCUCGGAACCUGGCUGCGGUCCUUUGAAUUCAGAUGUUUUGCUCCUGGCAGCCUCCUGCUGAUGGAAGUUUGAUGCUGAAAAUCAGUGGGAGUUUUGCGUGCAGAUGUCCUGCAGGGUGGCUGGUUGGGACCUGGCAAGCUGCCUGGAUAGGCACCAGUAAAACAAAACUUGGACCCCUAUGCAGGAGCUUCUUGUAUUUGUUGGGAAGGAGAAGAAAUGGAAUCCAUAACUAAACCAGACCAUUCCUUGGGAUGAUGACUUUUACUUCUUUUCUGAAAAACAGUGUAAAACAGUGAAAAGCUUUUUAGAUAAAAGAUUUCUUUGGCAGAGAGGACUGAAAAAGCCUACAAGAGACUUCUGUUGUAGCUGAGUUUAGACUGAAGUUUUGACCCUGUGCUGCCUUGUUGGAUUCCAUGACCUGACCUAAUAUCUGACAGUAUGUCAAUAAUGAUGAAUUGUGGCUGCUAACUAUUCAGAGAAAAUAGCAGUAUUGUUAAGAGUGACUGUAUUAUAGCAGAGUUCAACCACUGACUCAGUAUUAGAAAGCGAAUCAUUUAUUUUUUUAUAGCUGGGAUAGAAGUUACAGCAUAUAAUGGACUCAUUCACACUUUGAUUAGAAAAUAAAAAGAAUUUUGAACAGAUUUGA